rnacentral:lncRNA from 1 species
GGAAAUUUCUCGCUACAUUGAAGACCUGUAGGUGACCUUCUGCUGUUGUUUUUUAUUUGGUCGGGUUGUUGUCUCUUUGACGCAUUCCCCAUUUCCAUUCUCAAUUUUAUAAUUGUAAGCAGCAAGAAUGUUUAGUAAAGUAAGAUCUACAAACACAUCACCAUCACCAAAACACAAUUUUGUCAUGUGUCCUUUGUUUAAUUUUCACAUACACCAAGGUGAGCGACACAGGCUCUAGUUUUAAAUUUCGUCCCCUCGACCCUUAGAAUGGCAAAUCAUGCAUUCCUUGCAAAUGUGUUUAUUUAAUGUCUUCAUACAGUUUUACAUUAAAGAUUAUACUUCAUUUUCAACUGUUAAAUACUAAUGUAUAGGAAGUCAAAACAAAAACAAAGAAAUUAACUUGGAUGCUUAUCGUCACCAUUCUUCAUCAUAAUAAUAUAGCAAGCA